GUAAUCCACAUAUACUAAAAUUGGAUUAAUACACAGAUUAUCCUGGCCCCUGUACAAAGAUGACAUGCACAUUUGUGAAACAUUCCUUAUUUGU
rnacentral:snRNA from 1 species